ACACGUCCGGUCAUGUUCUGACUGAGUUGAAUGGCUGGUGUGGUUGUGUUCGUGUGAUCGUGCGAAUGCUUGUGAGCGUGAAUAUGUAUGAGCGAGAGUGAAUGUUCGUCUUUUGUGUUUCUCUUAAAACUACACAGUGAUCUUAUUUGAUCUGGACGGAGCCGGGCCUUCCUCUGGUUCAGAAAUGAUAGAAUCCGACUUGCGAGCCAGUAAUGGCGGUGUGCAUGAGGCAUUUCACUGAUUCCAGGGCCUCCACAAUUUCUAAAUUGUGGUCAGAAAUGAUGAAUUGAUCAGAUAUACUAGUGCCGUUCCCGGCCAAUGAGUAUAGAAGCGAUUCUGAUCUUA